UUGACAUUUUAACAGGGGUGUGUAAACUUUAUAUAUCCACUGUAUAUAACAUGGUAUCUCUCAGACCUUCAAAGAUACAGCACAACAAUUAAUGUAGUCUCUGCAUCAGCAAUUCCUUGGAAAGUGCAAAUACGUGCAACAGAAUUGCCUCAAAUAUGGACAUGGGUCACUCUUUCUGAAACAUUGCGUCUCUGAGGUAAGCAGCCUUCACAGAUUCCUCACCUCCUCUGAUGGCAGAAGUACAAUAAUCAAGAAUUAAGGAAAAGCCAGGAGCUUUAGUGCCUCUCCUUAACUACUACAGAGAAAUCUUAAAUUCUCAACAAAUUACAAAUCCUAGAAUUGCAGAGGACAGUUGAAGGGGUAUCAGACUGUAGUAAGUGUGUAAUAUAGAUACACUCGUCUGCCUAGCUGCUGUUCACAUGUAACAUGAUGUGGCAGCCUUUGGGAUAAGAAAUUUAAUAUACCUCCCAACACCAUAAAUAUGGGGUUUAGCUGUCAUUCAUAGCUUGUGAUAGUUUUAAUAUUGCUAAUCCCAUCCAUCCAUUAUUUUCUGAUUAUAGGACAGGACCAGAAGGGGUUGGUACCUGCAUCUCCGAUACUGAUUUGAACCAGCGGUGAACAUACACAAAUAUUUCUCUGGACUUCACAUCCAGUAUUUCCUUUCAUGAAUUCAGCCUUAUGGUUUCUAGAGAGGUAAACUGAUUUGAUCUUUUGGCUUGAACUUUUGGAGAAACGACAUCACAGCAGAAUACAGGCAUGAGCACAAAAACACAAAUACGGUGUGAUGUGGCCUCUAUCUGAAUACCAAAGAAACAAAAGGAAAGACAAGAGAGUGGCAGCAAUGUUGGCUCAGAUGGGAAAUUCAUUUUAGCUGAAGGAAGAAAAUGAAUAAAGGUCACAUAAAUGUCUGGAAAUGCACAGAUCUUCGUCCUGUAUCUUCUGCAGAUUCUCAGAGAGACCAGCUUUCUCUCAAUAAGGGAGUUCUCCAUAAAAAUCCUCUUUUCUACAUGACCUAGGGAAGGGAAAUCCAGGUAGCAUGGAGCAGUUUUUGGAAUGUUUUGUGAAGCUUCAGGCACCCUGUGCGCUAUACAAGCACCUUUACCUAUUUUUUGUCUUCCUUCCCUCCCCCCCUUUUUUUUUUAACUAGAGGGUACACACAAUGGGAGAGCUUUGGAACAUAUUUUCCCCCAUCUAUAUUGGGAAAUGGUUGGGUUUUGUUAGGUCUGUAUCAUGCCUUUUCUCUUCAUGGUUGUUUCAUCUUUCUGGUUGUGGGCUGUUUAACGGUUGCAGGAAAUGGCAACCUUUCAGGAUGUAGUGAUGUAAUUCACCGAGGAGGAAUGUGAGCUUCUGGACCUAGACCAGAGAUUCUAAUACAAGAAUGUGUCCUUUCUUGGCAAGGAAUUUGUUUCAUAUGAAUUGAUUGUCCUUACUACUGAAAUUUGACGAACAGGCCUGCUUCACAGUAUUGUUGCUGAGUAAUUGGGAAAGAGGAGAAGGAUAUAUAUUCCCUUGAGUUCAAUGAAGAAAAAACAGGAUAUAAAUUCAUGGCAGGGGUUGAACAGGCGAGAUGCUGGGCCAACCUCUGCACCUUCUUUGCUGUUGAAUCUGUGGGUGAACCUCCUGGGACCACCCAACCCCUGGGAACUGCCUCAGGCAGCUUUAGCUGCAUCAGCCAUCUUGAAGGAAGCUGAGAGCCUAGACACCAUGAGGGAAAGACGGACGGUAAGGGAACUGAGGAGAGAACCUAGAACUUUUGGGAAAUGGACAUACCCGCAAGGGAGCACAAGGGGCUGCGUCAUCUGAGGGAACUCCUAGCAAUGGGUUGGGACAGGUGGAGGAUGGAUUGGAACCCUCAAGAGAAAUAAAAGGUAAGGCUGCAGAAGUGGAGAAAGAGAGAAGAAUCCCAAGCAACACCAUCAGCUAGAAUGGGGUGAUGAAGGGGUGGAGGAUAAAGCUGAGCGAGAAGAAGGCUUGGAGUGACCCCAGCAUGAAUCAGUCAAGGAGGUCUGGGAUGUCCUGCUGGAAUGCCACCUCACUGGACGGCCUGUAAGCACCCCAACAGACUACUCUUAUACCUACCUGGUGGCACAAAAGGCAGCUUCAGCACCUGCGGCAACUUGCUGCCAAAGUCCAAGAGAAAGAACAUCGGCUCCAAGGUCUAAAGGCUGUAGGACUUCCCAGCAGUAGCCAUCUCAAGGGUGGGAUCAACUUCAGAGAGGGCAAAUUGAAUCAUUCCCAGACAAAAGGACCUUGAGGCUAUAUUUAACUGUUAGCAUUCUAACUUUCUCUGGACAGGGCACAUUUGUUGUUGGUAUUCAUUCAUUAAAGUAUGAUCCAUUGGACUGCAUCCAAGAUUUGAGUGCUGUGUUGGUGCCUGUGGGUCCAUUGGAUGCUCGCCUCCCAAUGAAUGACUUGUGGGAGACACACAAAAUUUCAGAAAUAAAUAAGCAAGUAAGCUAGUUGAAGUUUCUCUUCAACCGAGUAACUUUCUGGAAACCUUUUGUAGUAAUCUAAAACAGCAACUUUAGCCCUCUUCAUCUAAAAUUAAAUUCAUGGUGUUAUACAUGUCAACUCGGAAAUCAUGUGUGCCUAAUUAUUUUCAGCAUCAGGUAGUUUAAUAAGUUGAGGGGGGUAUAUGAGUCUUCAUUUAAAUGUAUCAUUUGU